rnacentral:rRNA from 1 species
UACAGAGGUCUCAAGCGUUGUUCGGAUUCAUUGGGCGUAAAGGGUGCGUAGGCGGCGCGGUAAGUCGGGUGUGAAAUCUCGGAGCUUAACUCCGAAACUGCAUUCGAUACUGCCGUGCUUGAGGACUGGAGAGGAGACUGGAAUUUACGGUGUAGCGGUGAAAUGCGUAGAUAUCGUAAGGAAGACCAGUGGCGAAGGCGGGUCUCUGGACAGUUCCUGAAGCUGAGGCACGAAGGUCAGGGGCGCAAACGGG